rnacentral:rRNA from 1 species
UACGAAGGGGGCUAGCGUUGUUCGGAUUUACUGGGCGUAAAGCGCACGUAGGCGGAUUGUUAAGUCAGGGGUGAAAUCCUGGAGCUCAACUCCAGAACUGCCUUUGAUACUGGCGAUCUCGAGUCCGGGAGAGGUGAGUGGAACUCCGAGUGUAGAGGUGAAAUUCGUAGAUAUUCGCAAGAACACCAGUGGCGAAGGCGGCUCACUGGCCCGAUACUGACGCUGAGGCACGAAAGCGUGGGGAGCAAACAGG